CCCUUAGAUGUUCGGGGCCGCACGCGCGCUACACUGAAGGAAUCAGCACGUCUUUCUCCUUGUCCGAAAGGACUGGGUAACCCGCUGAACCUCCUUCGUGCUAGGGAUUGGGGCUUGUAAUUCUUCCCCAUGAACGAGGAAUUCCCAGUAAGCGCGAGUCAUAAGCUCGCGUUGAUUACGUCCCUGCCCUUUGUACACACCGCCCGUCGCUACUACCGAUUGGAUGGUUUAGUGAGAUCCUCGGAUUGGUCCCGGCGCGGCCUCUGGUCGUGCCGGAGUGCCGAAAAGAAUGUCGAACUUGAUCAUCUAGAGGAAGGAGAAGUCGUAACA
rnacentral:rRNA from 1 species